GAUGAACGCUAGCUACAGGCUUAACACAUGCAAGUCGAGGGGAAACGACAUCGAAAGCUUGCUUUUGAUGGGCGUCGACCGGCGCGCGGGUGGGUAACGCGUAUCCAACCUGCCCACCACUUGUGGAUAACAUUGCGAAUGUAAGACUAAUACCCAAUGUUAUCCCUCGCAGACAUCUGAAAGGUACUAAUGAUUUAUCGGUGAUGGAUGCGGAUGCGUCUGAUUAGCUUGUUGGCGGGGUAACGGCCCACCAAGGCAACGAUCAGUAGGGGUUCUGAGAGGAAGGUCCCCCGGAUUGGAACUGAGACACGGUCCAAACUGCUACGGGAGGCAGCAGUGAGGAAGAUAGGGCAAGGGGCGAGAGCCUGAACCAGCCAAGUAGCGUGCAGGAAGACGGCCCUAUGGGUUGUAAACUUCUGUUAGAAGGGAAUAAAGUGGGUCACGUGUGACUUUGUGCAGGUACCUUAUGAAUAAGGACCGGCUAAUUCCGUG
rnacentral:rRNA from 1 species